rnacentral:tRNA from 1 species
CAAUGGAAGGGGCAAUCCUUCCUCUCCUAACCC